GUCAGAGGGGGCAAGCGUUGCUCGGAAUCACUGGGCGUAAAGGGCGCGUAGGCGGGAUGGCAAGUCGGUCGUGAAAUCCUUCGGCUCAACCGAAGAACGUCGGCCGAUACUGCCGUUCUUGAGGGAUGCAGAGGAGAUUGGAAUUCCCGGUGUAGCGGUGAAAUGUGUAGAGAUCGGGAGGAACACCGGUGGCGAAGGCGGGUCUCUGGGCAUCUCCUGACGCUGAGGCACGAAGGUCAGGGGAGCAAACGGG
rnacentral:rRNA from 1 species